rnacentral:rRNA from 1 species
ACUCCUACGGGAGGCAGCAGUGGGGAAUAUUGCACAAUGGGCGAAAGCCUGAUGCAGCAACGCCGCGUGAGGGAUGACGGCCUUCGGGUUGUAAACCUCUUUUAGCAAGGAAGAAGCGAAAGUGACGGUACUUGCAGAAAAAGCGCCGGCUAACUACGUGCCAGCAGCCGCGGUAAUACGUAGGGCGCAAGCGUUAUCCGGAA